rnacentral:rRNA from 1 species
AUACGGAGGAUCCGAGCGUUAUCCGGAUUUAUUGGGUUUAAAGGGUGCGCAGGCGGAAGAUUAAGUCGGCGGUGAAAGUUUGCAGCUUAACUGUAAAAAUGCCGUUGAAACUGUCGGACUUGAGUGUAAAUGAGGUAGGCGGAAUGCGUGGUGUAGCGGUGAAAUGCAUAGAUAUCACGCAGAACUCCGAUUGCGAAGGCAGCUUACUAAGCUACAACUGACACUGAAGCACG